GGGUGCGUAGCUCAACGGUAGAGCUCCUAGCUUAUAUCUAGGCGGUUUCCAGGUUCGAAUCCUGGCGCACCCA
rnacentral:tRNA from 1 species